rnacentral:rRNA from 1 species
UACAGAGGUCUCAAGCGUUGUUCGGAUUCAUUGGGCGUAAAGGGUGCGUAGGCGGCGCGGUAAGUCGGGUGUGAAAUCUUGGAGCUUAACUCCGAAACUGCAUUCGAUACUGCGGUGCUUGAGGACUGGAGAGGAGACUGGAAUUCAUGGUGUAGCAGUGAAAUGCGUAGAGAUCAUGAGGAAGACCAGUGGCGAAGGCGGGUCUCUGGACAGUUCCUGACGCUGAGGCACGAAGGCCAGGGGAGCAAACGGG